rnacentral:rRNA from 1 species
CCCUUAGAUGUUCUGGGCUGCACGCGUGCUACAAUGGCGUUUCCAGCAAGUCUGCGAACCCGAGAGGGCCAGCGGAUCUUCGAAUUGGCGUCGUGAUCGGGACAGUCGAUUGCAAUUAUUUGACUCAAAUGAGGAAUUCCUUGUAAUCGCGAUUCAUCAUAUCGCGCUGAAUACGUCCCUGCCCUUUGUACACACCGCCCGUCGCUCCUACCGAUUGAGCGAUCCGGUAAAUGUUUUGGAUUGGUGCCGGGGCGGCUAGCUGCCGGUCGCUACGAAAUUUUGUGAACCUUAUCGCUUAGAGGAAGGAAAAGUCGUAACA